AAAUUGGUGUGAGUAGUUUUUGUUUUGGCAGGUCUUGGACGACGCAGUUUCGACUACAAUAUUAACUUCCUCCCCACACUGUUUUUGUUAGCCCUCAUUUCGAUUGUUUUGCUGCCACUUUCUUGUCACCAAUUAGUCUUAUUUAACGAUACACUACACCCUGGUGGUGAUAAUGGACGCCAGUCCAAUGCUAGCGACCCCCGCGCCACCGCGCGGCUGCGUCCAUAGCAACACCUAUUAUUAAAAAAAAAAAAAAAAACGAUACACUACACUACUGAAUGCACAAAUUUGCGAAUUUUGCAUGUAAAAAAGUGAUCAUCUUACUCAACUAGUAUAGUUUUUUGUGCUUUCAGUGAAAUGAGAUCUGCCAGUCAGUAACAAGGUGGAUGCUCCAUUAUGUCGAGGAACAAUGAAGAAGACGACAAAGAUGAGUUGGAAGCUUUGUGUUUGGCUGCCCUCAAAAGUUUGUGUGCAAAAAGACUUCCUCCACCUAUUGUGUUGCAAGGCCAGCGUUUGUCACCCAAACACAAUGUUUGCAGCACUGCAGGCUUUCAGCGUCAUUUUGGCAAUCACAAUUUGAUAGCCAUCAAUCCAGUAGAGAACAAUUCUGCAAGUUCCUUACCUUACCAGAAUUCAUCUCCUCGGAUAACAACUGAUUAUUCAGAUUCAACUUCACUAGGACGUUGUAUGGCCUAACACUGAAUUGCCCAUCAAACACAUUCCACUGUGAGGGUCAAGUGUGCAUCCCUCAAAAUUGGGUACGUGAUGGCAUGGAUGAUUGAUCUGAUGUGAGGAACGAGAUAAAUUAUAACACAACAACAGAGUGCAAAAAUGGAUUUCAAUGUGGAAAAGAAUGCAUCUUAAACCAGUGGGUCUGUGAUGGUGUCAAAGCCUGUGCUGAUGGGUCCCAUGAAAAAAAAAUGUGUUCCACACAUUGGUUCUGCUGGCAUGGAUGGAUCGCAGCUGACAAACAGAAUCAAAAAGACAUUAUCUGGCCUAAUAGAUUGGUUGUGGAUGAAACCAUUCAACGCAUUUAUUGGGGAGACGCUAAACUUAAUCGCAUUGAAAGUUCGAGGAUUGAUGGAUCAGAUCGUAAUAUCCUUCCCGUUAAAGUGACCCAUCAGUACACUCUCAACAUCUUUGAAAACAACAUUUUUUGGUGCGAUCCUCUGGAGCAUGAAGUUCUUUCCGUCAACAAGUUUACCGGCAAGGAUUACAAGAUUUUAAUCAAGGAAGCUUCACUAACUCCAACUGGCAUCCACGUUCAUCAUCCUUCCAAGCAAAGCCAUCUCACCGACCCCUGCCGAAACGUGAUUUGUAACCAUCUCUGUCUUCUUUCAUCAACCGUUCAAGGCUACAAUUGCGCCUGCCCUGUUGGUAUGACUUUGAACAAAGACGUCCGUACCUGCGAGUUUAUUUCCGCCCAUGACUCUUCCAUCGUCAUCGCAACUUUCACAUACAUUUAUCGCUUGACUCAUCACCAAAUUGGCAAAGAUACCAUCCUUCGUCUGCCUACGCGUAACAUGGAAAACAUCGGACCCCCUUUGAUGUAAGUUCUUCCUCUCAAUUUUUCUUUUUGGGUGCUGCCUGCGUUUUGCGAUAAUUGUACAUUCUGGUCAUGCGCGAUGCUGCAUCUACAGUAAAUUGAAAUUUAAGAAUGAAAAACAAUUAUAAAUUAAGAACGGAAACUUUUUCCCUUACCAUUGGAAACGACAGAGAGGAAACCCUUGGCGUUUGGUUCUUUCGAUUGCGGAAUAACGUUUGACGAAUGAUAUUCAUCAAUUAAUACUAGCAACUGCUGACCAGUAAAAAUGCCAAAGUUCUUCGGAACCCCGAAAAAACUGUCAUCGGUUGUUUUUUCAGAUACCUCUAGUCCGUAAGUCAUGAAAAUGACGGACGACGGUUCGAUGCCAGCAUUCUGUAAUUUCUUCAAAUUCGCCGCCUAAUUAAAAAAAAAUUAGUAACUAAUAAUAAGAAUAACUUACAGUUACUUACAUAAUUAGCUAUCUUGGCAUUGUAAUCGCCGGGACAAUUCAUCAUAUAGCCGACUUUCCAAUUUUCGGCGUAAUGGUAAGCAAAAAGAUAGGAAACAUAACCCAAUGGCAGAUGUAGAUCUUCUUCGCCGGGUGCUGAACGAUCAUGUUUAACCUGACGUUCUUCGGUGCUCAAAAUUGAUCCGCGACCACCAGCUUCUUGAAUUAUGUGAAUUUCAUAAUCCAGUCCAGUUUGCUCACGAAGAAAAGCUUUAAUUUGCCUGAAAUAAUUAAAACAACAGUUAUUAAGUGAACGACAUGACAUGUAUAAGUGAAAAAUUACGGAGAAUUUUCGACAACAGUGUCUUGUAACUUUUUAAAAAAAGAAACAGGAAUCGCUUUUCCGGAUGAGGAUCUCGUGGUAAGAACUACGCAAAAUACAUUUGCGGACGACUGGAGAAGACUAAGGGGAGGUACAACCCAUUUUCCAGUGGUUUUUAUUGGUGGACCAAAUUCUUUGCAUCCAAUGCAAAUAUGACGAAACAUGUCCACAUUAUCCACUUGCCCUUGAUGACCAUCGUCCUGGCACCAGACACCCAAGCCUUCCUUAUUUACGUCAAUCACUCCGAUGACUCCGCCAAUUGGAGUGCGGAAGCCACUUUCCAUUUUCGGAAGACGUGAAAUGGGACCUUUUUUCCCUGUCACUAUGAAUUAGCGAUUUUUCUCGUUAUCAACAAUGGAUCGGGACAAGGGAGCGAAUGGACGUGUUUCCUAUUUCAUCAGCGAGAGGAACGAAGCUGUCAAAUUCGGGAUCUUUCCUGACGGAAUGUUGUACGUCAAGAGUAAGCUGGAUCGCGAAGCCAAAGAUUAUAACGCCCUGACGGUGGUGGCCGAGGACGGAGGGAUGCCGCCAAGGAGUUCGUCCGUCUCGGUCACGAUCUACAUCAUCGAUAUGGAACGACAACCCGCCAAUUUUCAAUGACGAAACUUUCUCCUUUUACAUUCCGGAAAACGAGGCAACGGAUUCUUACGUCGGCCGUAUGACAGCCACGGAUCGCGACGUGGGUCGCAACGCCGAACGGACAUUUUCGAUCGCCACAUCGUAAAGUGAUUUCAGCAUCUAUCCAAAGAACGGCUUCAUCAAAACGCUGCGCUAUUUCGAUCGUGAGCGACUGCUCCAAACCACCGGGCAGGAUUACAUCGUCCUGGAGGUUGUCGUCUCUGUCAAUGGCGUGAUCCGAUUGCGGGACAGAGCCCGGAUUCACGUCUUCAUUCUCGAUAUCAACGACAACGCUCCCGCCUUUUCAAUGUCCCCUGAAAGAGUCCCUAAAUGAAAGAAUUCCAGCAACGAGUCCAGGCUCUGGAGAAUAACAUCACUCAAAUGGAGAACAACCAAGUUGAAAAAAACUUGAAGAUAGCUAAUUUAACUUCCCUGCAGGACAACCACACUAGAAUAAGCAAAAUCCGUCAUCCGGCUGUCGAAAAAGAUAUAGAAAUAGGCCAGAAGGAGCAAGCUGUGGCGGAAGCUGAGAUGCAGAUGGCCACCCUGAAGCACAAGAUGGUGGAUCUUCAACAAGAGAUACAUUCUCGAGCCAUUCGAUCAGGUGUUCGAUUCCUUGAAUUCGACAGAACAACAACAACAUACUGCCCUCGCUGCCUAAUUGGCAGCCUACGUCCGUGAGCGCCAGGAUCUUACCGAGAUUGUACAAAGUCUAAAAAACGAGCUGUUGGCCUAUCAAAAUGACAUUGGCGAGCCGACAGAUUACACGACAUGGAAAGUACGGUAUGAAAAAUCACAAGAAAAAGAUGAGCGUAUGGAUAAAGAACUACAGCGUCACAAGGCGGAGAUUCGCAGCUGGAAGAAACAAGCAGAAACGAGUUUCAACUGGUCUAUGCGUGCAGGUGAUCAUGAAGUGUGAAACCUACAAAAAGGAGUUGACUACGUUGACGACAAAGUUUGGCAGAUUCAACCAAUGCCUGUGAUUUGUUACGUACGCCGCUUGAAGAGAUGACUGGGAGAGAUUUUUGCGAUGAGCCAAAAAGAGCUGCUCAAUCUGAGCAAUUGGUCGGCUAGCAGUAAACGUCAACAAGCGUUGCAGCAUUCCAUCCUGCAAAGCAGAGAAUUGUCUCGUAUUCUUUCGCAAUCGCUGAUGAUUGGCGUCAAUCACGACGCCCAGCAACAACAUUCGAGCAGUUCGCUCUCUACUACUAGCAGCAAUUGGAGCUCUCAUAGCAGCUGAAAAUGAGUCGAGAAAAGUCGUGUCGACAAACUACAUCCGCCUUGCUUAGACAUGGAAGAAAUCGGUUGCCAAGUCCAGCUGGAUCUCUCGACGGCCAACGAACCAUCUCGCAAGAUGUUGGUGGAUCAAUUGCGUGAAAUGGUCAAGAAGUAGGAAGACUAGGUCAAGCAGCGCGAUGAAGAAAUUGCUCGAAUGAAAAUUACCAACAACACCGUGGCUAACAAUAAUUCCAUGCAGACAGAUCGACUUUUAAAUUUUCUCUUCGUAUUUUUGUCAUAUAAUUUCACACCACUUUUAUUUUGUAAACAUAUAACAUGUAAAAAUAAAUGUUGAGGAGA
rnacentral:misc_RNA from 1 species